GACAGAGGAGCCAAGCGUUGUCCGGAUUGACUGGGCGUAAAGCGCACGCAGGCGGCUGUGCACGUGGGGUGUGAAAGGUGGCGGCUUAACUGCCACACGCCACCUCAUACGGCACGGCUCGAGCCCGUGAGAGGUCCACGGAAUUGCCGGUGUAGUGGUGAAAUGCGUAGAUAUCUGGAGGAAUACCGGUGGCGAAGGCGGCAUCCUGGACCGGCAUUGACGCUGAGGCGCGAAAGCGUGGGGAGCAAACGGG
rnacentral:rRNA from 1 species